GACGAACGCUGGCGGCGUGCCUAACACAUGCAAGUCGAACGAAGUGGCGAACGGGUGAUUAACGAGUAAUCAACCUGCCCUUCGGAGGGGGCCAACAGUUGGAAACGACUGCUAAUACCGCAUACUGAAGGAGGGGAUUGCGUCGGACUAGCUGGUGGGGGGGGGAACGGCCCACAAAGGCGAGGCUCCGGAGCCGGUCUGGGAGGAUGAACGAGCCAAUUGGGGAUGGGUCACAGGCCAAGCUCCUACGGGAGGCAGCAGUGGGGAAUCUUUCGAAAUGGAGGAAAGUCUGACGGAGCAACGCCGGGGGGGUGAUGACGGCCUUCGGGUUGUAAAGCUCUGUUAAUCGGGAAGCGGUACCUGAAUAGAAAGCCACGGCUAACUACGUGCCAGCCGCCGCGGUAAUAC
rnacentral:rRNA from 1 species